AUGUCGCCCCGUCGUCUGCGCCCAUGGUCCUCUCGACCCCGAUUCGCCGCUAUCCACGACGCAGUGCGGCGGACACGGCGUCGGCGUCGGCAUCGGCUGCUGAAACCUCUGACACCUCCUGCUGCAGGUAGUGGGUCAAAGGCCACUGAAACAAAUGGUGCAACCUGCGGACAAGGUGAAUGUGCCCCAAAUAUGGGACAAGAACUUGGUUUGGAGGAACUCCCUGAGGACAUCGUACAUCGUAUACAUUCUAUCAUGCCAGUACAAGAUGCUGCUCGUGCUGCCUGCGUGUCACGUAGAUUUCUGCAUUCCUGGAGAAGCUAUUCCAGCCUCACACUCAGUGACCGUACACUUGGUUUGGAUGACACAGAUUUUGAGGAAAGGAAAACCCAUCUCAUUGAUAAAUUUGACAAAAUUCUUAAAAACCAUUAUGGCAAUGGGGUGAAGGUGAAGACACUUAAACUCGAGCUUGGACUUUGCAGCGAUAUCAAAGCCUCCUACCUCGACAGGUGGCUCCGAAUCAUUAAAUCUGGGAUCCAAGAAUUCAGCUUGGUGUUGCCUUUAGUUAUGAAUAAAAUCUACAACUUUCCAUGUUCGGUUUUAUCUAAUGAGGCAGCUGCAAGUUCAAUUCAGUCUCUUAGCCUCUUUGGUUGCGCUUUUCACCCCACAUCAAUCCUUGGGCGCUUGAUAAGAUUGAAAAGUUUACAUCUGUGCCAUGUCCACAUUACUGAGGAUGGAUUAGGGCACUUGCUCUCGAAAUCUUCUGCCCUGGAGCGGCUGGUUAUUGAUGCAUGUAGUGGGAUAAUUUGCUUGAAAAUACCUUGUACGAUGCAGCAGCUCAAGUUCCUUGCUGUUAAACUAUGCAAGAUGGUGCGGGUGGUAGAGAUAGAUGCUCCACAACUCGGCUCUUUUCACUAUGGCGGGACACCGGUCAUCUAUGUCCGAAAUUCUUCGCAACUUAAGAAUGUAGAUAUUUCGCCUGUCUGCCCGUCUGGUAUUCUCUCUUAUGCUCGCUUUAGCCUUCCGUCCAUUGCUCAAAAUGUUGAGAGCCUCACCCUGCGCGGUCGUAGUGAGAAUGCCAACACUCCAAUGCUGCCGUCCAAGCUCCCUCGCCUCAAGAACUUGGAAAUUGCACUCCUUAAACCACACUUAUCCCCAAACUAUGAUGCCUUCUCUCUGGUUUCUUUUCUUGAUGCUUCUCCUGCCUUGGAAUCUUUCAUCCUACGCGUAGAGCAGGAUGCCUUGAUGCAUGACCCUGUUGUUGGAGACGACACUGAAUACCGGAGGCAGAAUCUGGAGUGCCGGAAUAACAGUCUCAGGAAGGUGAUGAUCACGGGCUUCUGUUCUGCCAAGAGCCUAGUUGAGCUCACAGUUCACAUCCUCGAGAGAGCACAUUCACUCGCGCGCUUCACGCUGGACAUAACCUAUGGCUAUGAUAGGAGAAGUUGUAACGUCGCCAAAUUCCCAACCGCGAGAAUGAUUGGCCUAUGCUGGCCAUUGAACAAGAGAGCUCUCGAGGAAGCUCAUAGAGCCGUGGAGACAGCGGAUAGAUACAUCAAGGGAAGAGUUCCCUCAUCCGUUCAAUUCGAGGUUCUGGGGCCCUGUCCUCGAUGCCAUAUUGGAAAGUAG
rnacentral:rRNA from 1 species